UACGGGGGGGGCAAGCGUUGUUCGGAAUUACUGGGCGUAAAGCGCACGUAGGUGGCGACGUAAGUCGGGUGUGAAAUCCCUGGGCUCAACCUGGGAACGGCAUUCGAGACUGUGUUGCUGGAGUACGGAAGAGGAGGGCGGAAUUCCCGGUGUAGCGGUGAAAUGCGCAGAUAUCAGGAAGAACACCAAUGGCGAAAGCAGCUCUCUGGGACGGUACUGACGCUGAGACGCGAAAGCGUGGGGAGCGAACAGG
rnacentral:rRNA from 1 species